rnacentral:lncRNA from 1 species
GCCAGGCUCCUGGUGGUUCUUUCUCUCAUCUGCUACCUCUUCCUAUUCCUAUUUGCCACUGGCUCAGUUUGGCUCUUUUUAUCUCAGGAUUACUUCAUUUAACCUUCCUGGGCUCUUAGACUAUAAUAUAACCAUGCCCCUCCAUAAUACUCACCUCUAUGGCCAGAGAUUAUUUCAAAAUGCCACUCUGGUCACAUCAUUUCUCAGCUCAAAAACCUUCAGUGGCUCCCUAGUGCCUCAGGUUCAAGUCUGAAUCCAUCUGUCACAUGCAAAGAAGGACCUCUCUCAACAUGCAUCCUACCCCCUUUACUCCAAUUAGGCCAAACAUUUAUAAAGUUUCCCAAAAUGAGCUUUUAAGCCCUCCACACACUGUUUGGAAUUCCUUUCCUCCUUGUCUCUUCUUUAAGACUUUGCUUAAGUACAAUUCCUCUUUGAAGCCUGUCCUGGUUUCCCCCCUGAGCACGAUCAGGGUAAGCUUCAUAGAGAAGUCAGGCUUGAGCAGAGCCUGGGGUCAGCGGUGGCCUCUGCUUCCUAAGUGUCUCUCCUAUUCCAGUGUAGAAUUCCGCCCCUUUCUGGCACAGAGGAGCCAUCCAACAAACACCCAA